UACAGAGGGGGCAAGCGUUAUUCGGAAUUAUUGGGCGUAAAGGGCGCGUAGGCGGCCUGACAAGUGGAAGGUGAAAUCCCUCGGCUUAACCGAGGAACUGCCUUCCAGACUGUCUGGCUUGAGACCGGGAGAGGUGAGUGGAAUUCCCAGUGUAGCGGUGAAAUGCGUAGAUAUUGGGAGGAACACCAGUGGCGAAGGCGGCUCACUGGACCGGUACUGACGCUGAGGCGCGAAAGCGUGGGGAGCAAACGGG
rnacentral:rRNA from 1 species